UCCAGGCAUGGCAGACCAUGCCUGUAAUCCCAACAACUCAGGAGGCUGAGGCAAGAGGAUCACAAGUUCAAAGCCGGCCUCAGCAAAUUUGUGAGGUCCUGUCUCAA
rnacentral:sRNA from 1 species